rnacentral:rRNA from 1 species
GACGAACGCUGGCGGCGUGCCUAACACAUGCAAGUCGAACGGAGAAUUUGAUAAGCUUGCUUAGAGAAUUCUUAGUGGCGGACGGGUGAGUAACGCGUGGGUAACCUGCCCAUAAAUCCGGGACAACCCUUGGAAACGAGGGCUAAUACCGGAUAAUCUUAAGUCUUGGCAUCAAGACUUAAGGAAAGAUGGCCUCUGAACAUGCUAUCGAUUAUGGAUGGACCCGCGUCUGAUUAGCUAGUUGGUGGGGUAAAGGCCUACCAAGGCGACGAUCAGUAGCCGGCCUGAGAGGGUGAACGGCCACACUGGGACUGAGACACGGCCCAGACUCCUACGGGAGGCAGCAGUGGGGAAUCUUCCGCAAUGGACGAAAGUCUGACGGAGCAACGCCGCGUGUAUGAUGAAGGUCUUCGGAUUGUAAAGUACUGUCAUUGGGGAAGAACGGUCUCUUUGAAAAUAUUGAGGAGACAUGACGGUACCCAAGGAGGAAGCCCCGGCUAACUACGUG